rnacentral:rRNA from 1 species
CCUACGGGAGGCAGCAGUAGGGAAUCUUUCACAAUGGGCGAAAGCCUGAUGGAGCAACGCCGCGUGCAGGAUGAAGGCCUUCGGGUUGUAAACUGCUUUUAUAAGCGAGAAAUAUGAUGGUAACUUAUGAAUAAGGAUCGGCUAACUACGUUCCAGCAGCCGCGGUCAUACGUAGGAUCCGAGCAUUAUCCGGAGUGACUGGGUGUAAAGAGUUGCGUAGGUGGCAUAAUAAGUAGCUAGUGAAAUCUGGUGGCUCAACCAUUCAGACUAUUAGCUAAACUGUUAAGCUCGAGACCGUUAGGGGUAACUGGAAUUUCUAGUGUAGGGGUGAAAUCCGUAGAUAUUAGAAGGAACACCAAUAGCGUAGGCAGGUUGCUGGGACGGUUCUGACACUAAGGCACGAAAGCGUAGGGAGCAAACGGGAUUAGAUACUCGGGUAGUC